rnacentral:rRNA from 1 species
GUGGGGAAUCUUCCGCAAUGGACAAAAGUCUGACGGAGCAACGCCGCGUGAGUGAUGAAGGUCUUCGGAUUGUAAAGCUCUGUUAAUCGGGACGAAAGAGCCUAGUGUGAAUAAUGCUAGGAAGUGACGGUACCGGAAUAGAAAGCCACGGCUAACUACGUGCCAGCAGCCGCGGUAAUACGUAGGUGGCAAGCGUUGUCCGGAAUUAUUGGGCGUAAAGCGCGCGCAGGCGGAUCUGCCAGUCUGUCUUAAAAGUUCGGGGCUUAACCCCGUGAUGGGAUGGAAACUACAGAUCUAGAGUAUCGGAGAGGAAAGUGGAAUUCCUAGUGUAGCGGUGAAAUGCGUAGAUAUUAGGAAGAACACCAGUGGCGAAGGCGACUUUCUGGACGAAAACUGACGCUGAGGCGCGAAAGCCAGGGGAGCGAACGGGAUUAGAUACCCGAGUAGUCC